rnacentral:rRNA from 1 species
AGAACGAACGCUGGCGGCAGGCUUAACACAUGCAAGUCGAACGGUUGUAGCAAUACAGCAGUGGCGCACGGGUGAGUAACGCGUGGGAACAUCCCUUUCAGUUCGGAAUAACCUCGGGAAACUGAGGCUAAUACCGAAUAUUCUCUUCGGAGGAAAGAUUUAUCGCUGAAAGAUUGGCCCGCGUCAGAUUAGCUAGUUGGUGGGGUAAUGGCCUACCAAGGCUCCGAUCUGUAGCUGGUCUGAGAGGACGACCAGCCACACUGGAACUGAGACACGGUCCAGACUCCUACGGGAGGCAGCAGUGGGGAAUAUUGGACAAUGGGCGAAAGCCUGAUCCAGCCAUGCCGCGUGAGUGAUGAAGGCCUUAGGGUUGUAAAGCUCUUUUGCCAGGGAAGAUAAUGACGGUACCGUGGAGAAUAAGCGACCGGCUAACUUCGUGCCAGCAGCCGC